rnacentral:lncRNA from 1 species
UGUUAACUGAAAAUGUUUUAUGCCAGAAAUGUACCAGCAUCUUUGUUAUUAAACACAGGCUUUGAUGAUGACACAUUUCCCAUGUUCAUAACUUGUGAUUGGUGAAGAAACAGCUGAGGCCUAGAUAAGUUAUGUGCCCAAUGCCACACAGCUAGAAAGCUACAAAGCUGAAGUUUGAACCCAACUCAUCUUGGUCCAGAGUCUGUGCACAGAAGUCCUCAUACAUCCAGCACUCAGCCUGCUCUUGAGCAAAAGGUACAUGUCCAACUUAAGAAAGCGUUUACUACUAGAGAUCGCUGAAAAAAUCAUAAGUCAUUUCAAUCAGGUUGAAUGCACUGCCCCAGAGAUGUUCAAGAAGAGGUUCAAGGACUUCUUAGGACGGAGUUUUAUGAGAGGCACCAACAUUGAAGACAUCAAAUCCAAUUGUAAAGUCCUUCCAAAUGGAAGAUUGUAAAAGCAUCUAAAGGUCUAUUCUGGAUGGGAAGAUAACAUGGGCAAAGGUAAUGACUAUCUGGGAGGAGCAGACCAGUAUGGCUGUAAUGAGAAAUUCAUGGAGAAGAGUGGUUUCCAGUAAUGCUGCAAAAAUCGGCUAGAAUCAGAUUGCGAGAGACCCUGAAUGUCAGCAAAAUCGGGUUUUGGUCUUAAUCCUCUUAAUCCUUUAACUGAUGGGAAGACUUAAAGAGUUCCUCCUCUGGAAAGUGAUAAAGUUUUGCCUUUUUUUUUUUUUUCUAGUUUGGAGUUUUUUGUUUUGUUUUGUUUUUGAUACAAAGGGUAUGAAGUAAAUUAAUCAGAUGACAUUCUUGAUCUACUGCGAAUGACUCAGUCAAGCCUCUUUUGCAUCUUCUCUUCCUCCCACUGUCCACAAGGUGGCACCAGAACUCAAAAUCAGAACUCCCUGGAAGGUUGUCUAACUGUUCCAAGCCUUUCCUGUAGGAUGACUCCUAUAAAGAUACUUUUGAGGUGAACAUGUCAAAAUAUAUUUUUAUUAACAAUUUUUAAUCGGCCUCUUCAUUCACUCUGGUGUAUUUUUCCAGGAGUUAACAAUUUUCGUCUUAACUGACUGCAACGUUCUGAAGAACUUCUGGGGACUGUGCCAGUUUAGAGACUAUUGUAGACCAAAAUCAUAAACAACACAUCCUACAGAAAAUGCUAAUGAUCAACUGGACGUUGAUACAGUGGAAUUUGUUCGACCCUCGAUGACUUCCAGAAGGGGGGAGCUGUUCUAGUUCACAAGAUGGAGAGGUUUGUCAGGUGGCCGGUUAAAUAAGCUUCUUGACACUUAACUCUAGUUUCUCUUUCUCUGAAGCUCAAAACACGUGUUUGAUUCUUCGAAAACAGUGAAAAUUGGCAUCUUAAUGAAGUCAGUUUAGAGUGUAGCAGUUGGAGGUGUGUGUCCAAGAGGCGACGUGGCACAUGCCCUCCAGCCAGUUUUGUUGGACCCCAGUGGAAAGCUUUCUGAAUGCCAGUUCCUACCCAGAUUUCCCAGCUCACCAGUCCCAGCCAGCUGGCCAUGGACCAGAUUUGGCCUGAAGCAAUCCAACUUCUCUGCCAUCCAGUAGGUCCAGCCACAAUGAAUUUAGACUCCAAUGAAGUCUGAAUCUUAGUGCUGGAGAGGAACCCCCUUCUCCAAGUGUAUUUCUUCAUUUGGGACUUUCAGAGAAUUCAAGGGAAUUCCCUGAAUUCUCUUUUAUACCCUCUGAGUGGCUACUCACCUGCUACCAGUUAGUAUUUCUU